rnacentral:rRNA from 1 species
GACGAACGCUGGCGGCAUGCUUAACACAUGCAAGUCGAACGGGACGGCCCUGCUUUUGUGGGCUGCUCGAGUGGCGACCGGGUGAGUAACACGUAGGUAACCUAUACUUGACUUUAGGGUAACUUCAGGCAGCUGAGUCUAAUACCGGAUAGGAGCUCCUGCUGCAUGGUGGGGGUUGGAUAGUUUCGGCGGUUGGGGAUGGACUCGCGGCUUAUCAGCUUGUUGGUGGGGUAGUGGCUUACCAAGGCUUGGACGCGUAGCAGGCCUGAGAGGGUGACCGGCCACACUGCGACUGAGAUACGGCCCAGACUCCUAUCGGACGCAGCAGUGGGGAAGAGUGCACAAUGGGCGGAAGCCUGAUGUAGCAACGCCGCGUGCGGGAUGAGGGCAUUCGGGUAGUAAUCCGCAUCCGCCUGAGCCGAAGCGUUAGUGACGGUAACGGGUAAAUAAGCACCGGCUAACUACGUG